rnacentral:rRNA from 1 species
UACGGAAGGGGCAAGCGUUGUUCGGAAUCAUUGGGCGUAAAGGGUGCGUAGGCGGCGCGGUAAGUCGGGUGUGAAAUCUCGGAGCUUAACUCCGAAACUGCAUUCGAUACUGCCGUGCUUGAGGACUGGAGAGGAGACUGGAAUUUACGGUGUAGCGGUGAAAUGCGUAGAUAUCGUAAGGAAGACCAGUGGCGAAGGCGGGUCUCUGGACAGUUCCUGACGCUGAGGCACGAAGGUCAGGGGAGCAAACGGG